rnacentral:rRNA from 1 species
GACGAACGCUGGCGGCGUGCCUAAUACAUGCAAGUAGAACGCUGAAGGAGGAGCUUGCUUCUCUGGGUGAGUUGCGAACGGGUGAGUAACGCGUAGGUAACCUGCCUGGUAGCGGGGGAUAACUAUUGGAAACGAUAGCUAAUACCGCAUAAGAGUAGAUGUCGCAUGACAUUUGCUUAAAAGGUGCAAUUGCAUCACUACCAGAUGGACCUGCGUUGUAUUAGCUAGUUGGUGAGGUAACGGCUCACCAAGGCAACGAUACAUAGCCGACCUGAGAGGGUGAUCGGCCACACUGGGACUGAGACACGGCCCAGACUCCUACGGGAGGCAGCAGUAGGGAAUCUUCGGCAAUGGACGGAAGUCUGACCGAGCAACGCCGCGUGAGUGAAGAAGGUUUUCGGAUCGUAAAGCUCUGUUGUAAGAGAAGAACGAGUGUGAGAGUGGAAAGUUCACACUGUGACGGUAUCUUACCAGAAAGGGACGGCUAACUACGUG